rnacentral:pre_miRNA from 1 species
GAUGUACUCCCUCCGUCCCAAAAUUCUUGUCUUAUAUUUGUCUAGAUACAGAUGUAUCUAAUACUAAAAUGUGACUUGAUACAUCCGUAUUUACACAAAUCUAAGACCAGAAUUUUGGGACGGAGGGAGUAUAUA